rnacentral:rRNA from 1 species
AGUCCUGGCUUAGGAUGAACGCUAGCGAUAGGCCUAACACAUGCAAGUCGAGGGGCAGCAUAAAGAGUAGCAAUACUUUGGUGGCGACCGGCGCACGGGUGAGUAACACGUAUGCAACCUGCCUUCAACCAGGGAAUAACCCGUUGAAAGACGGACUAAUACCCUAUAAUACAGGGGCCCCGCCUGGGGAUAUUUGUUAAAGAUUUAUCGGUUGAAGAUGGGCAUGCGUUCCAUUAGCUAGUUGGGGGGUAACGGCCCCCAAGGCAACGAUGGAUAGGGGAACUGAGAGGUUUAUCCCCCACACUGGUACUGAGACACGGACCAGACUCCUACGGGAGGCAGCAGUGAGGAAUAUUGGUCAAUGGACGCAAGUCUGAACCAGCCAUGUCGCGUGGAAAGGAUGAAGGUCCUAUGGAUUGUAAACUUCUUUUGCAGGAGGGUAAAGUGAGCUACGUGUAGUUCAUUGCAAGUACCCUGCGAAUAAGCAUCGGCUAACUCCGUGCCAGCCGCCGC